AGCGAACGCUGGCGGCAGGCCUAACACAUGCAAGUCGAACGGAUCCUUCGGGAUUAGUGGCGGACGGGUGAGUAACACGUGGGAACGUGCCCUUUGGUUCGGAACAACUCAGGGAAACUUGAGCUAAUACCGGAUGUGCCCUUCGGGGGAAAGAUUUAUCGCCAUUGGAGCGGCCCGCGUCUGAUUAGCUAGUUGGUGAGGUGAAGGCUCACCAAGGCGACGAUCAGUAGCUGGUCUGAGAGGAUGAUCAGCCACAUUGGGACUGAGACACGGCCCAAACUCCUACGGGAGGCAGCAGUGGGGAAUCUUGCGCAAUGGGCGAAAGCCUGACGCAGCCAUGCCGCGUGAAUGAUGAAGGUCUUAGGAUUGUAAAAUUCUUUCACCGGGGACGAUAAUGACGGUACCCGGAGAAGAAGCCCCGGCUAGCUUCGUGCCAGCAGCCGCGGUAACAC
rnacentral:rRNA from 1 species